rnacentral:rRNA from 1 species
GAUGAACGCUAGCUACCGGCUUAACACAUGCAAGUCGAGGGGCAGCAUGGUCUUAGCUUGCUAAGGCCGAUGGCGACCGGCGCACGGGUGAGUAACACGUAUCCAACCUGCCGUCUACUCUUGGACAGCCUUCUGAAAGGAAGAUUAAUACAAGAUGGCAUCAUGAGUCCGCAUGUUCACAUGAUUAAAGGUAUUCCGGUAGACGAUGGGGAUGCGUUCCAUUAGAUAGUAGGCGGGGUAACGGCCCACCUAGUCUUCGAUGGAUAGGGGUUCUGAGAGGAAGGUCCCCCACAUUGGAACUGAGACACGGUCCAAACUCCUACGGGAGGCAGCAGUGAGGAAUAUUGGUCAAUGGGCGAGAGCCUGAACCAGCCAAGUAGCGUGAAGGAUGACUGCCCUAUGGGUUGUAAACUUCUUUUAUAAAGGAAUAAAGUCGGGUAUGCAUACCCGUUUGCAUGUACUUUAUGAAUAAGGAUCGGCUAACUCCGUGCCAGCAGCCGCGGUAAUACGGAGGAUCCGAGCGUUAUCCGGAUUUAUUGGGUUUAAAGGGAGCGUAGAUGGAUGUUUAAGUCAGUUGUGAAAGUUUGCGGCUCAACCGUAAAAUUGCAGUUGAUACUGGAUAUCUUGAGUGCAGUUGAGGCAGGCGGAAUUCGUGGUGUAGCGGUGAAAUGCUUAGAUAUCACGAAGAACUCCGAUUGCGAAGGCAGCCUGCUAAGCUGCAACUGACAUUGAGGCUCGAAAGUGUGGGUAUCAAACAGG